UAUAAGUGCAGUUUUGUACUGCUCAUGUCUAGCGUAUAACCGUUCGUCUUAUUUGAAAAUAUUUAUAAUUAGUAUUUUUAUUGUUAUUAGAUGAUAAAACAUAUAUAAUUCUUUAUGUGUAACUAUUUUUUAAAAAAAUUAUAAUUUUUUUAAAUAAGACGGAUUUCCACAACUACACUUAUU
rfam:Oryza rufipogon genomic scaffold, chr07